AUUAGAUUAAAAACCAAUGCCCUUCGGGGCUCUCUGGUGAUUCAUGAUAACUUCUCGAAUCGCAUGGCCUUGCGCCGGCGAUGGUUCAUUCAAAUUUCUUCCCUAUCAACUUUCGAUGUUUGGGUAUUGGCCAAACAUGGUUGCAACGGGUAACGGAGGGUUAGGGCUCGACCCCGGAGAAGGAGCCUGAGAAACGGCUACUACAUCCAAGGAAGGCAGCAGGCGCGCAAAUUACCCAAUCCCGACUCGGGGAGGUAGUGACAAUAAAUACUGAUACAGGGUUCUUUCGGAUCUUGUAAUUGGAAUGAGUACAAUUUAAAUCCCUUAACGAGGAACAAUUGGAGGGCAAGUCUGGUGCCAGCAGCCGCGGUAAUUCCAGCUCCAAUAGCGUAUAUUAAAGUUGUUGUGGUUAAAAAGCUCGUAGUUGAACCUUGGGCCUGGCUGGCCGGUCCGCCUCACCGCGUGUACUGGUCCGGCCGGGCCUUCCCUCUGUGGAACCCUAUGCCCUUCACUGGG
rnacentral:rRNA from 1 species